GAGGGUAUAGCUCAGUGGUAGAGCACAUGCAUGAGGUCCUGGGUUCCAUCCCCAGUACCUCCA
rnacentral:tRNA from 1 species